rnacentral:rRNA from 1 species
GGNUAUGGCUCAACCAUAGUGUGCUCUGGAAACUNUCUGACUUGAGUGCAGAAGGGGAGAGUGGAAUUCCAUGUGUAGCGGUGAAAUGCGUAGAUAUAUGGAGGAACACCAGUGGCGAAAAGCGGCUCUNUGGUCUGUCACUGACGCUGAGGCUCGAAAGCGUGGGUAGCGAACAGGAUUAGAUACCCUGGUAGUCCACGCCGUAAACGAUGAGUGCUAGGUGUUAGGCCCUUUCCGGGGCUUAGUGCCGGAGCUAACGCAAUAAGCACUCCGCCUGGGGAGUACGACCGCAAGGUUGAAACUCAAAGGAAUUGACGGGGGCCCGCACAAGCGGUGGAGCAUGUGGUUUAAUUCGAAGCAACGCGAAGAACCUUACCAGGUCUUGACAUCCCGAUGCUAUUCUUAGAGAUAGGAAGUUACUUCGGUACAUCGGAGACAGGUGGUGCAUGGUUGUCGUCAGCUCGUGUCGUGAGAUGUUGGGUUAAGUCCCGCAACGAGCGCAACCCUUAUUGUUAGUUGCCAUCAUUAAGUUGGGCACUCUAGCGAGACUGCCGGUAAUAAACCGGAGGAAGGUGGGGAUGACGUCAAAUCAUCAUGCCCCUUAUGACCUGGGCUACACACGUGCUACAAUGGUCGGUACAACGAGUUGCGAGCCGGUGACGGCAAGCUAAUCUCUGAAAGCCGAUCUCAGUUCGGAUUGGAGGCUGCAACUCGCCUCCAUGAAGUCGGAAUCGCUAGUAAUCGCGGAUCAGCACGCCGCGGUGAAUACGUUCCCGGGCCUUGUACACACCGCCCGUCACACACGAGAGUUUGUAACACCCGAAGUCGGUGAGGUANC